CACCCAACAGAAACGUAAACAGGAGCAAAGAAACAAACAGCCGAAAAUUAAUUUUAUCUUCAUCUUCUUCUCCUUCAUCUUAACAGAUUCAAUCUUUUUCUAUAAACCACCAAAAACACAGACCCAUGGCAACAUCCAACUAGAUCCAUCAUUAUCACAAUCGAACAUCCUGAUUUACCCCCUCUCUUUGUAUACGGGUUGGGUUUUACACUCUUUUCUUCAAUAAUUCAGGUUCGUUCUUCUUCCAGAUUCGUGAUAUGCUGGAGAAUGAGGAGAAGAAUGAAAAUGCUGCCUUUGUUUCUUUCUGUGGGGAUAUUGACUUAACAACCUUCAGUGAGAAUCCAAAUUUGAAAGACACAUGGGCUCGUCAGGUUCGUGAUAUGCUGUAGAAUGAGGAGAAGAAUGAAAAUGCUGAAUUCCGAGUGAAGGAGGUUGAGUACAUUCAAGCAGAGGUGAAGAUAAUAAAGUGUCUAGUGGAAAACGUUGUGGUAGAUAUUUUAUUUAACCAACUAGGUGGACUGUUCACCCUUUGUUUCCUUGAAAAGGUUAGUGCUUUAUCCUAGAAAUUGUCUACUCCUUUUGUCCAAAUAUUAUGAUCCUUUUUCCGGACACUUCUGCUUUCCCAAAUUAUUAGUCUGUUAUUAGAAAAUCACUAAUCCUGCCAUGCCCUAUUCAUUAAGCAACCUAAAUCAAAACCAUCUUCUGGACUUAGCAAAUUAUUUCUUGAGGCUUGUAGUGCAAUAUAUGCUGUUUUACCUGCUGGACAAGAUAAUCAAAGGCAACCCUUUUUAUCCAAACACUUCAAUGUUAUUGAUCCUUUGCGUAUAAACAACAACCUGGGACACAGUGUCAGUAAAGGUAUACAAAUAGAACUCUACUAUGCUGUUUGCCAUCAAGUUAAAUGUCAUUUGAAUACCUCUGCUUUUUAACGUUCCAAAUUUUAUCAAGCAAGGAAUACAAGCCGGCAACUAUUGUAUUCCUAUUUCUCCUAGAAUUAACUGGUGUUUGUUUCCAGUAGAGUAUUGAAGGUUCUUUUUACAUUCCAGCAAGAGUCCCAUUCCAGGUAGAAAGACAUGAUUACUUCAUGCUGUUUUUAUUUUUAUGCCUUCAUGCUGUUUUUAUUUUUAUGCUUAGCUUCUAUCCAUGCCUGCUUCUUCCAUGAUAUAUAUGUACAUGUAUCAAGAACAAAGGAAACAAUUUUGCAUUCCUUCUUUGAUAUAAUUGUGGAGUUUGGUUGAUUUUAUAUUUUCUCAACUCAAUAAUUAUUAAUGAUAAUGCAUAUAUUUUUUCUGGUUUGUAGCAUGCCUCGACGAGGAUCCAUAUUAGAUUCUAGGAGUGACAAGUCCACUUCAUCCAAAUCAUUUCAAAAGGAGAUAAAGAAAAAAGAAGAGGAGAUAAAGAAAAAAGAUGAUUUUAUUUUUGAAAUGAAACGGCAGAUGGAUUCCAUGAAAGAAUAUCUUAUGAACAAUCUUGGAUAUCAUGGUGGGACAUCAAAUAUUGAUCAAGGUAUGCUAGCACCCAUGUCCCCAUCAAUGCCGCCGCCUAUGGCUCCCCAGAUAAUGACAUCUAUGGGUCCCACAUCUCCACCAAUUUAUUGACCUGAACCUCAACCACUAUAAACCUGAUUCAUCUUACGUCGAUCCACAAUACCAUGAUUGUAUCUUUUGAUUGUAUCUUUUUAUUGUAUUUUGACUUAUUUGCAUUAAUGCAAGUUUAACUAAAUUUUUAUGCUAUGAAUUUUAUUUUUA